UCCGCUCCUUUGACAAUACUCCUGCCGCAGAAAUGAAGUCUUCCCCAUUAGCAACUCGCAAAGCGCUUCGGUCUCUUGCCCCAGACAGAACAGCGAGCCCAACAAGACCGGCUGAACAGGCGGCUUCCCCUUCCCGAACUCGAAGGAAAGUUUCCCCGUUUUAAAAAAGCGCGAUUCUCGAAUGAAUCCAAAACACCCUCCGGCUCCCGUGUGCUCCCGGCUCAGCGCCUCCAACCUCGAGCACAACCCCCGGGCGCACGCGGUCCGCACGCUCCACCCUCCGCCAGCGGCCGCCUGUCACCCCCGGGGAAGCCGACAGGGGAGUCGCCCUCUCGGGCACCAAGGCGCUCCCCGCCGCCCCGGAGCUCCCCUCUGCGGCCGCGUUCGCCAGACAAAAAGAGACGGGAUUUGGAGAAAGCGUCGCGGGCUCACCUCGGGGCCGCGCUCCACGGCCUCGCCGCCGGUCGCCCAGCCGCCAGCCGCCCCGCCGGGCGCCUCGGAGCAUUGUUUGGAGAUUUUCCCUGAGUGACUCACGCACUGAGAUAGACUGAGUUCGAGAGAGUCCCCGGGCUAAAAACUCUUGUAACAGAGUAUGACCGCCUGCCACCUAGUCCUUCUCGUCGCCUCCUCCAGCGGCCCGAACCUUGACCUGGGUGUUUCCUCAGGGAAUUAGCGAGCGCCAGGGUCACCACCGUAAGCCUGCCUGGUCCACAGGGAUGAGCCCCUGAGCCUCCAGCCAGCUGAGAGGUGCAGGACUGGUUUCCCUUGAGAUUCCUGGGCUUGCCAUGAGAUCUGGCAGUGACAGCAGGACUGAGGGUGAGGAGGGAAGAAACCUGACGCGCAGAGGACCACAGAAUUUGCCAGGGCCUGUCAGCUGAACAGCGGUAAUACUGGGAUCGGAAGCAACAGCCAUCUGGUUCCACGGGUGGACAAUUCCGGUCUUGCCGUGCUGCCCUCUCCAAGUCCUGGCAGUCCAGCCCGAUUUUUCCUUCUUCUCUAAAUGAGAGGAAACCAUGCGAACAAACAGGGAAGGAAACUCUGGCUAGCCUCCAUCAGCAUCCAACCAAACAGAAGGGGCCAGGCCUCUCUUUACCAACACCUAUUUGUGGAGGGAGGGCGCAGGGGGCCGGGGGGGUUGAUAAGCAGGUAGGUACAAAGUGGUCUGUACCAGAGAAAUUAAAAAAUGGCACAAGGACAUGCAUGCGCUUCAGUUACAGUGGGAGAUGGCACAUCCCCGGGGUUUGAGAAGUUCCUUGCUCCCAUGAUUCAGGCUAGAUGCGCCUCUAGUUCUCCCUCUCUAAGGCCUGGCUGGGGACACCCACCUCACAGGAUUGAGCUUAGAGAAAGCAUUCCCGUUCCCCCUUGAUCUUCCUCUCUUUACCUAACGUAUCCCUAACACACAAACAGGCGGAAGAACAUAAGGGUCAGAAGCAAAGGCAACGGUGGGACGAGAUUGGCAGUUCUGUGGCAUGAGACAGCAAUGGAAGGGUUAAUUCAGUCUUUCUGCCAAAUAAUCCGUGUCCCCAAGUGUUUUGCUGCGCUCACACAAAAUAAAUGCAUUAUUCCAUAGUUGCUGACAUAUCACGUGAAUCUUUUCAUGCCAGCGACAUGGCCUUAAAGAUGGCUUCAUCUUGCCUAAUGAAAAGAAUCAAAAAAUACUUCAAAAGACCCACUUAGAGCCUCAUAAAAUACCCGUUCUCUCAUGCAGGGUUCCACCAGUGACUGUUAAGUAUGUUAUCUCCUCGGUAAAGCCGCGGUCAAGGCUCACAAGAUGAGGAGAGAGGACUCAUCACCAGGGCACGUUGCUGGUGUUUUGCUCCAAGAGGAAUUUGCUUUCAAACAGACAUGCAUUCACUCAUCUCUUUUCUUAAAAAAAAAAAAAAAGAAAAGAAAAGAAAACCACAAACACAAAAUCUCUUCCAACUCAGCUGACUGAGUCCAAGUGGGGACGACAGCACCAUUCAGUUGCAUGAUCCCACAGAGCCAGUGUCCAGAAUGAAAAUAAAUGUGACUUUUCA